rnacentral:rRNA from 1 species
GACGAACGCUGGCGGCGUGCUUAACACAUGCAAGUCGAACGGAAAGGCCCUGCUUUUGUGGGGUGCUCGAGUGGCGAACGGGUGAGUAACACGUGAGUAACCUGCCCUUGACUUUGGGAUAACUUCAGGAAACUGGGGCUAAUACCGGAUAGGAGCUCCUGCUGCAUGGUGGGGGUUGGAAAGUUUCGGCGGUUGGGGGUGGACUCGCGGCUUAUCAGCUUGUUGGUGGGGUAGUGGCUUACCAAGGCUUUGACGGGUAGCCGGCCUGAGAGGGUGACCGGCCACAUUGGGACUGAGAUACGGCCCAGACUCCUACGGGAGGCAGCAGUGGGGAAUAUUGCACAAUGGGCGGAGGCCUGAUGCAGCAACGCCGCGUGCGGGAUGACGGCCUUCGGGUUGUAAACCGCUUUCGCCUGUGACGAAGCGUGAGUGACGGUAAUGGGUAAAGAAGCACCGGCUAACUACGUG